ACAAGAGAAAACAUAAAAACUUAGAUCAACAAAUGUUCAGAAUGUCAAUUAACAUUCAACAGUCAAAUCUUACUUACCAAACAUGCAAGAAAAAAAUAUCUACCCCUCAUCGAAGUUUUUGUCUUGCAUAAGUCUAAAACAUGAUACUAAUGAUCUAAGGUAAUGUGCCAAAAAAGAUACUGGGAAUAAAAAUAUCUCACUGAGGACACAAAUAAAUCCCUUUUCUGUAGUACUAGAUAACAUAUUUUGUUUUAGCAGCCUAAGGGCAUCCUAGUGCAUGAGGUUUCCACCACUGCGGAGUCUGAAAAGGAUCAGAUGUACACAGCCUUACCCUCUAUAUACGACGAUGCCAUUUCUUCAUUUUGAAUCCAUGACAUCCAUAUCACAAUGGAGCAAUUACCGUGGCAGCCUAUGGCACCUUAAUAUAUAUCCACAAUAUUCCAAAACUCGAGCAAGAGUUGAAUCAAAUGCAAUAAUGAACUAGUGAGGAGAAAUAGCCAAAUAUGUGCACAUACAGUAGAACUUAUCCACCGCAAACAAUAUUGCCACAGCAAGAACAAUAGUUAUAAUAUGUAUAUAAACAUAUAUGCUAGAAACUAGUAGUCUGCGGCUCCUCCACCCAUCCAGUGUUCUUUUCAAAUUCACAAGGGACAUAAACUGGGAGUUUGCCAGGUUGAUAUCAAAAAUUUGGAUAUCAUAAGGCAGAGUGAUAUGCUAAUCACUAAAAUCAGAGGUAGAGAGCUUGGACCACAGCUAGAUAAUAAUGUCAAACAAGGUGAUAAUCUUUUACAUUGUACUCAUCGCUCAUGGAAAUUGCAUUUCAUACUGAAGAAGCAACACACUGCAUCUAAAGAAAACAAGGAAAAAAGACUAACUCAAUGGUCAUGCCAAAUGUCACACAAUGCUUGUACUUAAGUGAUGAUUUCAUCCUUCUUGACCUUACAAAAGGAUAAAGAGUCUAUUUAAGAUGUCUAAGUCAGUACUGAAGUAUAAAUUGGUAGGUUCACCCUCCUUGUCAACCGUUGGCAAAAAAGUGUAAAACGGAAAAUGUUAAAGAUAGAAGUGAGCAAAAACGAUACCUAAAAGGUAUUUGAAGGAUGCAAAAACACAUAGUAGAUUGAGGGGGGUGAGAAAUUAGUUCAUGACAUGAAUAUAAUGCAUAAUAUCCUGGCGAGAGCUGAGAGAUGGUUGAAUGGAAAUGUCCAGCAAUCAAAUUAAAUCAAAGCUCCAAUGGGGUAUCAGAUAUCAAAUGUGGCAGAGCAUUUCUGCUAAACCAAGAGGAGGGAGAAUGAUCAUGAGCCCUAAACAUAGCUGAGCAUCAAAUCCAUCUAAACUUGCAGAAGGUGCCACUUCAAUAGGCGAUAAUGGAAAAAUCAUCAACUAGAGGAGCUAGAUGGUGAUGCAACAAGAGGAAAAAAUAAGGAAAAGCAUCAUGGAAACAAAUGGCUCAGGUUAUUUAUGAGGUUUAAUAAGUGGACCUUAUAUAUAGGUCCAUUUCGUUAUAUAGUUGGGGCGCAACAGGUUGCGACAGAUUGAGAUUCCCAGACCUCAAGUUAUCAAUAAAUAAUCU